rnacentral:rRNA from 1 species
UACGAAGGGGGGCUAGCGUUGCUCGGAAUUACUGGGCGUAAAGGGCGCGUAGGCGGCGCCUGUUAGUCAGGCGUGAAAUUCCUGGGCUCAACCUGGGGACUGCGCUUGAGUACGGCGAGUGCUUGAGGAUGGAAGAGGCUCGCGGAAUUCCCAGUGUAGAGGUGAAAUUCGUAGAUAUCUGGAGGAACAACAGUGGCGAAGGCGGCUCUCUGGACUGUUACUGACACUAAAGGCGGCGAAAAGCGUGGGGAGCGAACAGG